GCGUUAUCAUGGUGGCUGAUUUUCUCCCCACUUGCUGCUAACGUCAAGGCUAGUUGUAUGUGUUAUAUUAUACUGCUGAUUUUGUUGUCAAAAUUAAAUUAAUAACGCUGAUAUAUCCUGUAUAUACAAUACAAUACUGGAAGUAUUUGCUACCAAUGCUAGUAUUUCGGUACCAGAGUGACUGUUGAGACUGUGAAAUCCAACUCGAUGUGAAACGGAUUGGUUGGACUGGAAUGGAGUACCAGGGCUCCAAGCGAGGGCGGCGCUUGGCUUUUUGCUCUUGCUUCAUGCUGACUGAGAUGGGGCAUCAGAAGACCAACUAAGACAAUGUACAAAAACCACUAAAGAUGGGUGAAGUGACUCGAGAUGUGGAUGAUUUGGCAAAGCAAGCCUCCCUUCCAGAACCGCUACUCAUCAUACUGGCACCGCCUCCACCUUUCCUACCAUUGGCUGAUGAUCCGACCACUUUUUGGCACAAGUGGCUCAAAGCUUUUGAGCACUACCUCAAAGCGCUCGGAGAAGAGGAGCUGACCGACUCCAGUAAGUGUGCACUCCUACAAAACUGUCUCGGCCAAGAGGGCCAGCACAUCUUCACAGCGCUGGUCCCACGGGAAACCACCUAUGCGGCUGCCAUCUCAGCGCUGACUGCCUACUUCAGCGGCGACCACACCUCUCAGGGCAGCUUGCUUCAAUUCAAUCAAAGAGCCCAGACAGCUGGAGAGAACUCGGAGCAGUUUGUGUCCGCCUUGGAGGCUCUGCUGGCACCCUGUAACUGCGGAGCCUCACAAGAUAAGCUGAUCCUCAGUCAGCUGAUUGAAAAAACAAAGUGGCCACAGCUCAGAGAGCGGCUUUGCUCGCAAAGGGAAACACUGACGUUGGCCACAGCUUUGCAGAUCGCUAAAGAGGUGGAAUCUGCUUUAAAUUUGCAUGAAGAGUGUCCCCAGGCCAGUGUGGACAUUGAUAAUGAUGAUAGUGUGCAGCCUCUGGUCCAACGACCUAAAAGAGGACAGCCUCAACGAAAGGAACAACUUGAAACGGAAUCCCAAAAAUCUAAAGUAAACUUUGAGUGUGAUAAUAAAGACGAUAGUAGCUCUUCAUCACCUCGCAUGAAGCAAGAGGAAAGCUCGGAUGAACCAAGCAGCGAUGGAGAAUUGGCUGUCCAAAAUCGUCCUUCCUGUCCUGUGUGUGUAGAUAGACACUUUGUUAACAUGCACAAGCUUGCCCGACACAUGAGGUCGCACACAAAAGAGAAACCCUACCGCUGCCCCCUUUGCGCCACGCUCUUCAGCCAAACGUAUCACUUGACCCGACACAUGCGAGUCCAGCACAACGCCGCCCAGCACGUGUGUGCCAUGUGCUGCAACAGCUUUGAGAGUGCAGAAGAAUUAAAGAGCCACAAGAAGACGCACGUCUCUCAGCAGGUCUUGCUAUGUCCCUACUGUCCCAAAAGGUUGCAGAGUGACAACUUGUUUUUAAGUCACAUCACAUCCCACAAAGAGUACAAGCAGGAAGGAGACCAAUCAAUAGAAGCCAAAAUAGUGGACUUAUCUAACAAGGAUGUUGAGGAUGAAACAGGUAGAAAUAGGGAGUCAGACGUCCAUGUUAAGACUGAGAUUACGACGAUUCCUCUUGUUGGUGCAAGGAGGAAAGCAAGCAGCACCUGCAAGAAGAAUUAUGUGUGUCCAGUAUGCAACUACAGCUUCAGCCGGGCUGACAAGCUUGCCCGACACACGCGGACCCACACCAAGGAGAAACCCUUUCGGUGCCCCGUUUGCUCACUCACCUUCAGCCAGUCGUACCACAUGACCCGGCACCAGAGGCAGAAGCAUGGUCUGCGGCAGUAUGUCUGCCCCAAGUGUGGCAAGACUCUGGGCACCUGGCUGGAGCUGAAAGAGCACCGGAGGACUCAUACGGCUAAAGAGCUGAUGUGUCCCGCCUGCAAGAAGAACUUCAAGGAUAAGGACUGCCUGGAGAGUCAUCUCAAGUCCCAUGAGAAGAUCCCAUCUGAUCCUCACUCGCUUAUCUGCAGUGACUGUGGGAAAGUAUUUGGGCGGACCUACCACUUAAAGAGACACAUUGUGGCACAUCGCAAGGCUGCAAACGGCGAAUGCUACACCUGCGCCGAGUGUCACAAGAGCUACGCCUUUGCAGAGGACCUUAAAAAACACCUGAGGAAGCACGCUAAAGAAAACCACGGAAUGUGUCCGAGAUGCGACCAGAACUUUGGCAGUCGAGAGGAGCUGGAGGCACACAUGGCAGCUCAUAAAACAAGCUACCUGUGUAGCGUCUGCGGGAAGAAGUUCAAGGUUGAGCAUGCCCUAAAGAAACAUGAGCAGAAGCACCAAGAGCAACACUACUAUUGUGCUUUGUGCCAUAAGCAUUUCAACAAACUGUCGCUCUACAAGCGGCACGAGGCGGUGCACGACAGGCGUGAGUGCAAAUGUCCGCACUGUGACUGCGUCUUCCUCAAGCUUACAGCCUUGAAGUAUCACCUACAGACUCACACUGAGGAGAGACCUUACCAGUGUUCCUGCUGCGUGGAGACCUUUGAGGACAAAGAGGGCCUAGAACGCCACUGCCUCAAGCACAGGAAGUUUCGGAAGGAGCGGCCGUACAACUGCACCCGCUGUGACCACGCCUUCACCACUCUGGCCGAGCUCACAGCACACAUGAGCGACCAUGAUGGCCAGCCACCGCUCAGCUGUGACAUCUGCGGCCGCACCUUCCUCAACAGCAACAAGCUAGAGAAGCACUUGAGCAUCCACACGGGUGAGCGGCCUCACCUGUGCUCACACUGCGGCAGCGGCUUCCCGUCGGCCGCCGGCCUCAAGCAGCACAUUCACAUCCACACCGGCGAAAAGCCCUUUGCAUGUUCGCAGUGCACCAAAUCCUUCCGCUCGUCCAGUGGGCUGCGGCUGCACAGCAGGAGGCACAUGGACACUCCGCCCAGCUUUGAGUGUCCUGACUGUGGUAGGACUUACGGACGCAUGACCGAGCUGAAGAUGCACCAAAGGUACCACACAGGAGACAGGCCUUACUCCUGCAUGUACUGCAGUAAAAACUUUGUCAGUAAACACAAGCUGAUGGUCCACGUUCGUGUCCACACGGGCGAGAGGCCGUACUCGUGUCCCCACUGUGGACAGACCUUUACACAGACUGGAGACAGAAACAGACACAUCAAUAAGUUCCACACAUGAGACAUUAGGACCAGGGGCCUCACCUAUAAAGCUUGCGUACGCACAAAACAGGAGCGAAAAGUUGCGUAUACAUUUUUCCACGCCAAGUAUUUUACCUAUUAAAACACAAACUGGUGUGAGAAUGUGUGCAUUGGUACGCACCCUUUAUAGCUGGCGUACACACUUUUUGGAGACAUGGCAAAAAGGGGAUGCACAUUUUAAGUUGUGAAGUUAAAUUAUAUGUUAGAAAUAAACAUGCAAUGGAGGCCAAUAAAGAUUUAGCCAUUACUGCAUGAAAACAUCACACCAAUAUUGACUUCAAACAUUUGUGGAAAGUGUUGUUAUUUGACAUUACACUGAUGGACAUCAUUUGUCAUUUAUCAUAAACACCAUUACGCACGAGCAUGUAGUAUCUGAAUUAAAAGAUAUAUGAAAAACACAACCGAGCACAAUGAUGAAUACUUCAUUUUAUUUUGUAAUUAUAAUUUGGAUUUUAUAAUUUUAUAUCAUUUUAUUUUAUAAUUAUGAUAUGUGUUUGAUUAAUAUUAGUUAUAACAAACAGGUUGUCAAAUAAUUUUAGGGUUCAAGUUUACAAGACACAGAGCUAAUAUGUCCUUUGAGCGCCGUUUCUCGCUUUUCUUUGGACAGUUCAUCAAAAAAUAAACAGUUUUUUGUUGCAUAUGUCAAGUAUGUCAUCAGUAGCAACAUGUAUUUACCAUGGACGGCCCUUAUUUGUGUGUACAGUGUCAGGGCCGUGUGCAUAAACGUACUCUUUCCUUUUCCACAAAUGAUGGGUUUUUCUUUUGUUGUGCUUUGUUGUUCCUCAUAAAAUAAUUGGAAUAUACUUAAUACGUCUGUGUAGGCUCUCAGUCUUACAGGAGUUGUCCAUCGAGGGAAAGGCUUCUUGAGACGUCAUCUGUACUUCUGUGAAGAAGGUGUCGGACGCUUCGUCAGCGAACUCGCUGACGAAGCUCUUUGGAUGAGGAGUGAAACGUCUGACACCUUGAGGGUAUCUCAGUCCAACGCAGAGGCAAAGGCAAGCCAAAAAGUACUACCUGUUUAACGGACUGCCUUUCACAUCUUUGAUAAUAGAACAAGCAGUAAAAUGUUUUAUCAAAGUGAACAAACAAGGCUGUAAAGGUUGUGGCCGCAUAGCUCACUGUUGUGACACAAAAAUGAUUUCAAGAGUGGCGCACAAAAAGAAUUUACACAAUCGUUUGUGUCAUUCUACUUCGGGUCCAUUGUUUUACGAUUUGUCUGUUUUUACUUCUCUGUACAGACAAAUCAUUGUGGUCCUUGAACAUGAAAAAGAGUGAUGUUAUUAUCUCUGUAAUAGUAAGCUGUAAAUACUCCAACCACCCAAUAUAAUUGUAUAAUUGGACCUUGCUUUUAUUGCUUUUGUUAUGGUCAUGGUUUCAGUUGACUCAUUUUCAUGUCUCGUCAACAGACUACACUUACCUGGCUUCUGUAAACACUGAUACAAGUGCCAUCAAAUGGACUGUUAUUGAAAUCUGAGGAUUAUGAGAGAAAAAACAGGCCCCACUCUAUUUGAAUGAACACGGUCACUGCAAGUGGCAUUGAGUCCAGCAGAGGGCAGCACGCACCUUUGGUGUUCUUCUCGACCGCAGUGUUCAACUCCAGC